UACGGAGGGUGCAAGCGUUAAUCGGAUUUAUUGGGCGUAAAGGGCGCGUAGGCGGGAACGUAAGUCAGAUGUGAAAUCCCGGAGCUCAACUCCGGAACGGCAUUUGAUACUGCAAUCCUCGAGGAUAGGCGGAGAAAGCGGAAUUCCACAUGUAGCGGUGAAAUGCGUAGAUAUGUGGAAGAACACCGGUGGCGAAGGCGGCUUUCUAGCUUAUUCCUGACGCUGAGGCGCGAAAGCGAGGGGAGCAAACAGG
rnacentral:rRNA from 1 species